rnacentral:rRNA from 1 species
CGUACAGGUGCUGCAUGGCUGUCGUCAGCUCGUGCUGUGAAGUGUUGGGUUAAGUCCCGCAACGAGCGCAACCCUCGCUAUCUGUUGCCAGCAAGUGAUGUUGGGGACUCAGAUAGGAACUGCCGGUGACAAACCGGAGGAAGGUGGGGACGGACGUCAAGUCAAUCAUGGCCCUUACUGUCCUGGGCUACACACGUGCUACAAUGGCCGGUACAAGGAGCGCAGCGAAGCCGCGAGGCAAAGCGAAUCGACAAAAAGCCGGUCUCAGUACGGAUUGGAGUCUGAAACCCGACUCCAUGAAGUUGGAAUCGCUGGUAAUCGCGCAUCAGCAUGGCGCGGUGAAUACGUUCCCGGGCCUU